CAAAGGCUUGGUCCUGACUUUACUAUCAACUUUAGCCAAAUUUACACAUGCAAGUAUCCGCCCCCCUGUGAGAAUGCCCUACAGCUCCCUGCCCGGGAGCAAGGAGCUGGUAUCAGGCACACACCUGUUAGCCCAUGACACCUUGCUUAGCCACACCCUCAAGGGAACUCAGCAGUGAUAAACAUUAAGCCAUAAGUGAAAACUUGACUUAGUUAAAGCUAAGAGGGCCGGUAAAACUCGUGCCAGCCACCGCGGCUAUACGAGAGACCCAAGUUGAUACCAUUCGGCGUAAAGAGUGGUUAUGGAAAAUAAAGACUAAAGCCGCACACCUUCAAAGCUGUUAUACGCACCCGAAGGCCAGAAGCUCAACCACGAAGGUAGCUUUACAACCCCUGACCCCACGAAAGCUCUGGCACAAACUAGGAUUA
rnacentral:rRNA from 1 species